rnacentral:rRNA from 1 species
GAUACCCGAAUGGGGAAACCCAGUGUGAUUCGUCACACUAUCAUUAACUGAAUCCAUAGGUUAAUGAGGCGAACCGGGGGAACUGAAACAUCUAAGUACCCCGAGGAAAAGAAAUCAACCGAGAUUCCCCCAGUAGCGGCGAGCGAACGGGGAGGAGCCCAGAGCCUGAAUCAGCAUGUGUGUUAGUGGAAGCGUCUGGAAAGGCGCGCGAUACAGGGUGACAGCCCCGUACACAAAAGCGCAUGUGCUGUGAGCUCGAUGAGUAGGGCGGGACACGUGGUAUCCUGUCUGAAUAUGGGGGGACCAUCCUCCAAGGCUAAAUACUCCUGACUGACCGAUAGUGAACCAGUACCGUGAGGGAAAGGCGAAAAGAACCCCGGCGAGGGGAGUGAAAAAGAACCUGAAACCGUGUACGUACAAGCA